AGCGAACGCUGGCGGCAGGCCUAACACAUGCAAGUCGAGCGCCCCGCAAGGGGAGCGGCAGACGGGUGAGUAACACGUGGGAACGUACCCUUUGGUUCGGAAUAGCCCGGGGAAACUCGGAGUAAUACCGGAUAAGUCCGUAAGGAGAAAGAUUUAUCGCCGAAGGAUCGGCCCGCGUCUGAUUAGCUUGUUGGUGAGGUAACGGCGCACCAAGGCGACGAUCAGUAGCUGGUCUGAGAGGAUGAUCAGCCACAUUGGGACUGAGACACGGCCCAAACUCCUACGGGAGGCAGCAGUGGGGAAUAUUGGACAAUGGGCGCAAGCCUGAUCCAGCCAUGCCGCGUGAGUGAUGAAGGCCCUAGGGUUGUAAAGCUCUUUUGUGCGGGAAGAUAAUGACGGUACCGCAAGAAUAAGCCCC
rnacentral:rRNA from 1 species